CUUUAGGGUUUUUGCAUUACAAGUUGAUGUAAAGAGCAGUUGAACUGAACUAUUUGAAAUCGUGCAGAAGUUCCGGGUAAAACAGUUUCCACAAUAGUGAUAACCAAAGAAAUGGCGAUUACGUCCCCACACAUUUGAACUUUCAAAAGGAUAACAUAAACUUGGUUUGAAUCAAGAAUAAUGUGGGCUUGAUGACUACCAUAUAUCUAAAUUUAGCUUGUGUGGGUCACCAGAACCUCGUAGGUUUUACCGAUAAUAUGAUCAAAGAGUUCAGAGAGAACGGUGGUGCAUUAUCCGUACUGGAAAUCGAGUGGGAUAAAUUGUAUGGCGAGCGUUUAAAAAAUAUUCAAGCUGUCAUGUUACUUUUGUUUAGUAUUGUUUGGUAUUUCAUUAUGGAACGACUUACGCCUGAGCAACGUUUACAAAUAUUCAAUUCAUGGUAAACAUAGUCGACCUACUCAGCGUACUAUUCGCAACACCAUCUUGAGACCCAGCAUUCAUUAUUGGAUAAUAUUCGACCGAAUAGAUCACGUCCAGCACUCAGUGAAGAAUAUAUAGCGGCCGUAGCUGAGAGUGUACAUGAAGACCGUGGAGAGUCGAUUCAGCGCCGUUCGUAGCUACUCGGUCUGACGUAUGGAAACGCAUUUUACGUCGAGAGCUUAAAUUGAAAGCGUACAAAACAUAGUGUGUGCAAUAACUGAAGCCGCUCGAUCUUCCCAAGUGACAUCGCUUCGCACUUUGAGCCCUUGAAAAGUUCCAAGGGCAUCCACUUCCCACACAUCGCCGCAAUCAAUGGACUUAUUGAGAAAACACUUCGGUGAGCAGAUGAUUUCACGUUUUGGGUCGGUUCCUUGGCCACCAAGAUCGUAUGAUAACAUACCGUUAGACUUUUUCCUGUGGGGAUAUGUAAAGUUUAAAGUCUAAGCGGACAGUUCCGCAUCGUACCAAGCCUUGAAACAAAACUUCACGUGUGUCAUUCGCCAGUCGAGAGGCUCGAACAAGUCAUCGAACUGGAACUGAGACGUAGCCGCAGCCAACAUUUGAAAGAGAUAAUCUGCAGAAAAUAAAUACAAAAGGAUGU